rnacentral:lncRNA from 10 species
GUGCUCUGUGAGCCUCAGUGCCUUCAGUGGCAUCAUUGCACUGUGACUGUGCAGGUCCCAAACAGUAUGGACAUGAAUGUCCUCAAGCUGCAUGUUAGCAGGGCUUCUAAUUCCAUCUGCAAGUGAUAGUGUGUGGAGCUUAGUUGCACAGAGCGCAUGUUACUGGAGGAGAUAUGGGUCUGUGUCAUCCUGCAUGGGAAUGAUCCUAAAAACAAAGUGAUCAGUGACUGCUCAGGACUGUGGAAAGGUCACUUGGAGCAGUGGGAAAAGGUCUGGCAGAGGAAUAAGAAGAUACAGGUCUUAGAACAAGCCCUGGGACUUCAACCAAGUCAUUUAACAUCUGGGGCCUUCGUUUAUUUAUCCUCCCAGCAGAUAAAGCAAUACCUGCCCUGUCUUCCUAACCUUGGAGGGGUCAAAAAAGUGAUGGGUGUGAAAGCAUUUUGUAAACUGUAGUGCAAGCAUACGGCAGGGGAGUGAACCAUACUUUCACUAGCGACUUGAAUGAGGUGAUAAAGAAAAGGCUCAGAACUUCAGAAAAUGCAAGAGGGGCUUGACCCUGGAUUGGCAGAGGAAAGCAAUGGUGGGAUCGAUACCUUGGAGAGCCAAGGACCAAGGGGUUAAGGGUCCAUGAGGACAGGCCUGGAUCAUCAGGAAGCUGAGUGUGAGAGAACCUAAUUGACCCUUAAAGUUCCACAGAGCAGAGUUUGCAAAUCUCUGGUUCAGCCUUAUUAUUUAAAUGAGAGGAGAAUGAAAUCCCAGAAAAGAGAUGUGAUUAUGUGAAGGUCACACAGCAAGUUAGUUGCCAAGCUGCAACUGGAACUCAGAAUUUCUGGUUCCCAGUUCUAUAUCUUAGCCUCCCAAACUGGCUAUGUGGACAGGAAAGAACAGAGUAAUGGGGUGAGCUUUAAGGAUGCAAUUUCAUAGGAUUCCAAGAGUCUCAAGGUUAGAGAAGUCGCCUAGUCCACCUCCCCUCUCUGCUUCUCACAGAAGGGUCUGCUGAACACUCUGGUGACAGAGAACUCACCCAACAUGUUCCAUGGCAGAGGCUUUUCAUUAGAUCAAGGUGACAUCUGUUUUACUGGAGCUUCCAACCACGUGUCCCAAUACUGCCCUUAGUCACAGGCAUCCAGGUCCUCUCUCUCAGGACAGCACUUUGAAUAAAUGAGGACAGCUCCCAUCCCCCUUUCUCCCAGUUGACUUUCCAGAAACAUCUCAUAUUGUUGUUGGCUUUCCACCAUUUUUCCUCUUCACUUCCUGGGCCUACUACUACACUGUGUGUCCUCCACUUGGUCUCUUCCUGAAAGCAACACUGUGCACAAUGUUCCUGGGGGCAGACUUAUUAAACCAAGUGGACCACUUCCUUCAUCUUAGGUGUCACAGCUCCAUCAAUGCAUCCUCAAAUCACAAUGAUUUUUCUGCACUUCACCCUA